rnacentral:lncRNA from 1 species
AAAAAUCUGCAUCAUCUGCUGCUUCCUCAUCCUCCUGACAAGAAGCAUAUCAGGUAGAAAUUCUUUAUUUUUCAUAUCAUGGUAGAUAUUUUGCAAGAAUGAAUGUGAUAGAAUAAUGAUCUAACCUGGAAACCUAUAUUCAGGGAUUCAGCGGAUCCAAAGGAGUAUGUAUCGCCGUUAUCGGAGACAACAAAGGUGGUGUAUUCACCGGUGGAGACAUGCACAGCCUUCACAUUGCUCAAUCCUUGAACCACAGUGGGGAGAACCCUGUACUCCUCAUCGCCAUGUCCC